GAGCGGCGAACGGGUGAGUAACACGUGAGUAACCUGCCCCUGACUCUGGGAUAAGCCCGGGAAACUGGGUCUAAUACCGGAUACGACACCUCCUGGCAUCGGGUGGGUGUGGAAAGUUUUUUCGGUUGGGGAUGGACUCGCGGCCUAUCAGCUUGUUGGUGGGGUAAUGGCCUACCAAGGCGACGACGGGUAGCCGGCCUGAGAGGGCGACCGGCCACACUGGGACUGAGACACGGCCCAGACUCCUACGGGAGGCAGCAGUGGGGAAUAUUGCGCAAUGGGCGAAAGCCUGACGCAGCGACGCCGCGUGGGGGAUGACGGCCUUCGGGUUGUAAACCUCUUUCAGCAGGGACGAAGUUGACGUGUACCUGCAGAAGAAGCGCCGGCUAACUACGUGCCAGCAGCCGCGGUAAUACGUAGGGCGCAAGCGUUGUCCGGAAUUAUUGGGCGUAAAGAGCUCGUAGGUGGCUUGUCACGUCGGGUGUGAAAGCUUGGGGCUUAACUCCAGGUCUGCAUUCGAUACGGGCUGGCUAGAGGUAGGUAGGGGAGAACGGAAUUCCU
rnacentral:rRNA from 4 species